GCUCCGUUGGUGAACCAGCGGAGGGAUCAUUACAGAGUUUUCACAACUCCCAACCCUUGCGAACCGUACCCAUUCUGUUCUCGUUGCUUCCGGCGGGGGGGACGGGGGGGCCCGAAACGGCCUCCCCGCCCCGCCCGCCGGGGGCGGCGGGCCCUACGAACCUUUAUAUCUCGACCACCAGAAACCGUCUGAGAAAACAAACAAAAUAAUCAAAACUUUCAACAACGGAUCUCUUGGCUCUG
rnacentral:misc_RNA from 1 species